rnacentral:misc_RNA from 1 species
CAACCCUCGAGCUCGUCUUCAUUGACGAGAUCGGUGUUGGGGAACGGCACAGCGGGACCCAGUCCGGCGCCGACCCCGAAAUUCAGUGGCGGCCCGUUGCGGCGACCUCUGCGUAGUAACUUAACCUCGCACUGGAAGAGCAGCGCGGCCACGCCGUAAAACCCCCGACUUUUUUUUAAGG